rnacentral:rRNA from 1 species
UGGGGAAUCUUGGACAAUGGGCGCAAGCCUGAUCCAGCCAUGCCGCGUGGAUGAUGAAGGCCUUAGGGUUGUAAAAUCCUUUCGUGGGGGACGAUAAUGACGGUACCCCAAGAAGAAGCUCCGGCUAACUUCGUGCCAGCAGCCGCGGUAAUACGAAGGGGGCUAGCGUUGUUCGGAUUUACUGGGCGUAAAGCGCGUGUAGGCGGGUCGUUAAGUUGGGGGUGAAAUCCCGAGGCUCAACCUCGGAACUGCCUUCAAAACUGGCGACCUGGACCCAAGUAGAGGCAAGUGGAAUUGCGAGUGUAGAGGUGAAAUUCGUAGAUAUUCGCAGGAACACCAGUGGCGAAGGCGACUUGCUGGACUUGUGGUGACGCUGAGACGCGAAAGCGUGGGGAGCAAACAGGAUUAGAUACCCAGGUAGUCCCUGAGCGGGCUGGCAAGGCGCAU